rnacentral:rRNA from 1 species
UACAGAGGGGGCAAGCGUUGUUCGGAAUUACUGGGCGUAAAGGGCGCGUAGGCGGCCUUCUAAGUCGAACGUGAAAUCCCCGGGCUCAACCCGGGAACUGCGUCCGAUACUGGAAGGCUUGAAUCCGGGAGAGGGAUGCGGAAUUCCAGGUGUAGCGGUGAAAUGCGUAGAUAUCUGGAGGAACACCGGUGGCGAAGGCGGCAUCCUGGGACCGGCAUUGACGCUGAGGCGCGAAAGCCAGGGGAGCAAAGCGGG